AUACUUACCUGACAAGGGAGAUACCAUGAUCACAAAGGUGGUUUUCCCAGGGCAAGGCUUAUCCAUUGCACUCCGGAUGUGUUGACCCCUGCAAUUUCCCCAAAUGUGGGAAACUUGACUGCAUAAUUUGUGGUAGUGGGGGAUUGUGUUCUCACUCUCCCCUG
ensembl:snRNA U1 U1 spliceosomal RNA